rnacentral:rRNA from 1 species
UAGUCAUAUGCUUGUCUCAAAGAUUAAGCCAUGCAUGUCUAAGUAUAAACAACUUUGUACUGUGAAACUGCGAAUGGCUCAUUAAAUCAGUUAUAGUUUAUUUGAUUAUACCUUACUACUUGGAUAACCGUGGUAAUUCUAGAGCUAAUACAUGCUAAAAAUCCCGACUUCUGGAAGGGAUGUAUUUAUUAGAUAAAAAACCAAUGCGGGCAACCGCUUUUCUGGUGAUUCAUAAUAACUUUUCGAAUCGCAUGGCCUUGUGCUAGCGAUGUUUCAUU